UUGGACUUUUGAAGACAAGCAUAGAGAGUUUUGGUCACUUACUUUCUCUCUAUUCUCUACCAUUUUCUCCUUACCCAAACACCAUUCAUGCCACUUCCUAUCCUCUCAAGUUUUGUUCUAAGUAUUUGCAAAGACUAGGAUCAUCUUCCUUCAAGGGAAGCCACGAGAAUGGUAGAAGUUGUAAUAGGAUCACAAGAGGAAAUCCAUAGGGAAGUGCAAGAGACUAGCUCCCUAGAUACCUAGGGAGACUCCAAAGAGACAUGAGAGCUCUUCGGAGCCAUCCAUUUUGGAGAGGUUGGAAGUCGCCGACCGGUUUAUCACUAAAGUACUAUAGCUCUUUGAGGAGCUAAGAGGGAUUCUAAACCAGGACAAGGCCAAGUAAGAUUGGCCUUGCUAGAAGACAUUUUGAUGAGGGACCACUAAGAUCAUCAAAUAUAUAAUGUUUUGAUGAUAGUAAAAUAAUUGGUCCCAUGUUUUUUGUAGUCUUUGAAACAAUUAUGUAUUUUGAAAGAUUUUAUGAAAUCUGAUAUUUUGGUA